AAAAAUGUGAAACACCAGUUAAGAUUGGAUUUUCUCCUAUCACAGACCAGAAAAGUUGGAAAAGAUUUGUUUGUAUGGAAAUGGCAAAGUUCCAAAUUCCUUGGAACUUUAAAGGAAGGACGAGGAAGAAAAUAAAUUCUGCAGAAGAUUAAAUUACUUUCAUAAACAGAUUUGCUUUUGGAAAAGAAAUGGAUACAAGCAACCUUCUGAUGCUGGUGGUGUUGAGAGAGUUACAUCUGCUUGAAAAAGCUUCUGUGCUGAAGAGGACACCUGAGGCCUUACCACUCAAUAAAUCAGCUCCAACAGGUUGUCUCAGUGGCUUUAAUCCCAGGAACCUGGAUUAUUUGACCCCACAUCCUUGAGUUGAAAGAACAGUGUGAAAAUCCACUAGACCACCCAGUUCCUGUGAUUCCUAACCUAUUUUCUACAUCCUCACAUGUGGACCCUCUUAGGAAUGAAAAAUGAGGAAGGUGGCUACUCUGUGUAAGGAUGGAAGUGCGCUGCUACCUCUUUGCAUCAGUUCAUAUUGCCCUGUGAAGAAGAUAGAUUGGCUAUGCCAGCAGAUUGUGCUGUCAUCAAGCAGCUGUAUCAGGUCACCACCAUCAUCCACAACAUCAUCUAAUGAAUUUGCU